UGGAGUCCACAAAGCAGUUAGUAGAGUCUGUAACCUCUCUUUUCUAUUCCUGGCCUCUCUCAACCACUCAGCUGUGCCAACUACCUCAGAAUUCUAGGUGUGAUGGAAAGAAAUAGGCCUCCUGUGCCAGAUUCCACACAACUGAGGGAACCAGGCACUCACUUACUACACUCUCACUUUCCCCCAUGGGAGAAAACAUGGUUCGAGGGGUUAUCUCUUGGCACUGAGCAGUGCUGCCUGGGGGAGGACCAACAUGGGUAAAAUGAAAUUUUCUUACCCUCUUUGAUGUGCCUAUUCUUAAAUUUUUUGCUCUAACAAAGUGCUGGAACUCAUCCACUAGGUUCCUGGAGUCCCAUCAAGGGAGAAGAAGUUUAACAGAGAUGAGGCAUCCUGGAAUAUCCAGGUGGCAACAUGGAGUAGAGAUGAUGACUACUUCUAGGCCAUGAAAAACCAGCAGGAUCCAUGAUGGCUGAGAAAUGACAAUAUUGGUGAAUUAAGUACAUCUCAGGGAGAAGCCCUAUUAAAUUAGCCUAAUACCUUA